rnacentral:rRNA from 1 species
CCUACGGGUGGCAGCAGUGAGGAAUAUUGGUCAAUGGACGAGAGUCUGAACCAGCCAAGUAGCGUGAAGGAUGACUGCCCUAUGGGUUGUAAACUUCUUUUAUAUGGGAAUAAAACGUUCCACGUGUGGGAUUUUGUAUGUACCAUAUGAAUAAGGAUCGGCUAACUCCGUGCCAGCAGCCGCGGUAAUACGGGGGAUCCGAGCGUUAUCCGGAUUUAUUGGGUUUAAAGGAGCGUAGGUGGAUUGUUAAGUCAGUUGUGAAAGUUUGCGGCUCAACCGUAAAAUUGCAGUUGAAACUGGCAGUCUUGAGUACAGUAGAGGUGGGCGGAAUUCGUGGUGUAGCGGUGAAAUGCUUAGAUAUCACGAAGAACUCCGAUUGCGAAGGCAGUUCACUGGACUGCAACUGACACUGAGGCUCGAAAGUGUGGGUAUCAAACAGGAUUAGAUACCCCAGUAGUC